AGUGAACGCUGGCGGUAGGCCUAACACAUGCAAGUCGAACGGCAGCACAGUAAGAGCUUGCUCUUACGGGUGGCGAGUGGCGGACGGGUGAGGAAUACAUCGGAAUCUACUUUUUCGUGGGGGAUAACGUAGGGAAACUUACGCUAAUACCGCAUACGACCUACGGGUGAAAGCAGGGGAUCUUCGGACCUUGCGCGAUUGAAUGAGCCGAUGUCGGAUUAGCUAGUUGGCGGGUUAAAGGCCCACCAAGGCGACGAUCCGUAGCUGGUCUGAGAGGAUGAUCAGCCACACUGGAACUGAGACACGGUCCAGACUCCUACGGGAGGCAGCAGUGGGGAAUAUUGGACGAUGGGCGCAAGCCUGAUCCAGCCAUACCGCGUGGGUGAAGAAGGCCUUCGGGUUGUAAAGCCCUUUUGUUGGGAAAGAAAAGCAGCAGGUUAAUACCCCGCUGUUCUGACGGUACCCAAAGAAUAAGCACCGGCUAACUUCGUG
rnacentral:rRNA from 1 species